AUUAUAUGAUAUGAUGUAUCUUAGUUUUUUUUUUUUUUUCUUAUUUCUCAUUUAUUGCAGUCUGCUCACACAUUAAGACAGAAGGUAGACGAUUUAUGGCUCCAAAAUUCCCUCACUCUCCUCCUCAAUAUACGGCAAAAGAAAGGAAAAUAAUUUCUGAAUUGUAUUGAUUUAAGUCAUUGGUUUGGCAGCUUUCUUUGCUCUUCUUUGUAGGGUUGCUUUCUAGUUCUCCUUGAGGGCAAACCCAUUAAGGUGGGGGAGACUACCUAAUCCAUAAGAGUGAAAUUUUUACCUACAUCGUUAGGUAACUUCCAAAUUGAAAUCCUUCAUCCUGUUUAUCAUACUUCAAUCUCUCUUGGCCUAAGGGCUAAAUAGUUUUUGACAGCCUAAAUACCCUGAAAUUCAAAUGCUUUGAAUGCAAGCAAAACAGGAGAAUAGCCAGCUGUAAACAAAACAAAAGACAAAGGCAGGACACCGCACGCAAGAUUUUGCCCUCGUAGAUAGCAACACCCAGAAGGCCGAAAACCUACCUGCCUCUUCUGCAGAAACUGAUGGAAGCAGACACUACGGUGGUAGCAUUUUCUUUUGGAUCUCCCACCGUCUAGGCCUUGUUUUCAAAGUCUUCUCCCACCAGCCACCAUACCACCAAAGAUUCUUCAAUCUCUGUCAUUUCAUAUAUAUGGUCAAUCAUUUCAGGCCCACGAGGCUACUAGCAACUUGGAUUGUUUUAUAAAAGGUCGCUGAAAGCUAAUCCACUUUUUCCCACUCUUAUGAAGCUUAUAUGAAAGGGAUUUCAGUAUCAAACAUUAUCUCUUGUUUGACAACUGAAAUUGGCUGUAAGAUUUUCAAACCGCAAAAAACACGUUCGAUGCAUCUUUGUCGAACCGGCAGGCUUGAAAUACAUGAGUUAUCACAUCAACAUGAUGCACAUCUCCACAUUAGGCCAGGAUCUGAUCCAAUCUCUUAUAGCUUGCCAAACUUUCUUGCCAUGCCAUGCUUUUUUGUUGGUCCAAUGCCGUUGCUCAUUGGCAUUAUCAUAUUGGCUAAAUAUCUCUCUUACUUGUCCCAGGAUGAUCUUUGUUUUAUUCCCAACUCUUUUAAGACUCUUAAUAGUCAGUGCACCACCUCAUUUGGUAUACGCAAGCAAUGAAUGUGAUGUUCAAUUUGCAGUUGAAGAUAGAAGAAGAAGAAGAAGAAGAAGAAGAGGGAGAGAUUGAUCACAUUAGGCGAUGUAAAUUAUCAUCUUUAUUUAAUUUUAUUUUAAUUUGAUUGAAACAUGCAAUGAUUAUAUUCAGAAUUAAAUUUGUCAAAUUUAUCCUGUUUAUUGAAAAAUAAAUUUGAUGAUUGUUUUAAGCUAA